rnacentral:rRNA from 1 species
UACGGAGGGGGUUAGCGUUGUUCGGAAUUACUGGGCGUAAAGCGCGUGUAGGCGGAUGAAGAAGUCGGGUGUGAAAGCCCUGGGCUCAACCCAGGAAGUGCGCUCGAAACCAUUCAUCUAGAGUAUCGGAGGGGCUCGGGGAAUUCCUAGUGUAGAGGUGAAAUUCGUAGAUAUUAGGAGGAACACCGGUGGCGAAAGCGCCGAGCUGGACGAUAACUGACGCUCAGACGCGAAAGCGUGGGUAGCAAAC